rnacentral:rRNA from 1 species
UUUUCGGAUGGAUCUUGGAUUGACUGAGCGGCGGACGGGUGAGUAACGCGUGGAUAACCUGCCUCACACAGGGGGAUAACAGUUAGAAAUGACUGCUAAUACCGCAUAAGCGCACAGUACCGCAUGGUACGGUGUGAAAAACUCCGGUGGUGUGAGAUGGACCCGCGUCUGAUUAGCUAGUUGGCAGGGUAACGGCCUACCAAAGCGACGAUCAGUAGCCGACCUGAGAGGGUGACCGGCCACAUUGGAACUGAGACACGGUCCAAACUCC